rnacentral:rRNA from 1 species
UAGGGAAUCUUCCACAAUGGACGAAAGUCUGAUGGAGCAACGCCGCGUGAGUGAUGAAGGGUUUCGGCUCGUAAAACUCUGUUGUUGGAGAAGAACAGGUGAUAGAGUAACUGUUAUCAUCUUGACGGUAUCCAACCAGAAAGCCACGGCUAACUACGUGCCAGCAGCCGCGGUAAUACGUAGGUGGCAAGCGUUGUCCGGAUUUAUUGGGCGUAAAGCGAGCGCAGGCGGUUUUUUAGGUCUGAUGUGAAAAGCCUUCGGCUUAACCGGAGAAGGGCAUCGGAAACCGGGAGACUUGAGUGCAGAAGAGGACAGUGGAACUCCAUGUGUAGCGGUGAAAUGCGUAGAUAUAUGGAAGAACACCAGUGGCGAAGGCGGCUGUCUGGUCUGUAACUGACGCUGAGGCUCGAAAGCAUGGGUAGCGAACAGGAUUAGAUACCCUGGUAGUCCAUGCCGUAAAACGAUGAGUGCUAAGUGUUGGAGGGUUUCCGCCCUUCAGUGCUGCAGCUAACGCAUUAAGCACUCCGCCUGGGG